ACUCCUGCGGGAGGCAGCAGUGGGGAAUAUUGCACAAUGGGCGCAAGCCUGAUGCAGCCAUGCCGCGUGUAUGAAGAAGGCCUUCGGGUUGUAAAGUACUUUCAGCGGGGAGGAAGGCGAUAAGGUUAAUAACCUUGUCGAUUGACGUUACCCGCAGAAGAAGCACCGGCUACCUCCGUGCCAGCAGCCGCGGUAAUACGGAGGGUGCAAGCGUUAAGCGGAAUUACUGGGCGUAAAGCGCACGCAGGCGGUCUGUCAAGUCGGAUGUGAAAUCCCCGGGCUCAACCUGGGAACUGCAUUCGAAACUGGCAGGCUAGAGUCUUGUAGAGGGGGGUAGAAUUCCAGGUGUAGCGGUGAAAUGCGUAGAGAUCUGGAGGAAUACCGGUGGCGAAGGCGGCCCCCUGGACAAAGACUGACGCUCAGGUGCGAAAGCGUGGGGAGCAAACAGGAUUAGAAACCCUAGUAGUCCCAUG
rnacentral:rRNA from 1 species